UGGUGGGCUGCCGUCUAUGGGGUCACACACAGUUGGACACGACUGAAGUGACUUAGCAGCAGCAACAGCUUCUUCACAAACCUGCUGUGGGCCAGGUAGUUUCCAGACUGAGGAUAAAGAAAUGAAGCACUGUGGUCUCUUGAAGAUCUUAAACUGGGAGGAAGCAGGCUCUGAGAUGAUGGCAGGAGACACUCUACACUGAGCAACCUCCUCAAUGAUGCUUAUUCACAGACCACAGUUUGACUAGCAGGGGACAAAGAACUAAAGACAGCUUUGCAUCCUCAGCGGCUGAGUCUGGCACUAGGUUCGUUACUGGAUGGAGAAGAUUAAACUGUCAGUUGACAUUAACUUGUACUUAAAAAUUCAACAGCUCCUGGCUGUUGCCCACCUCAGGCUAUGUGAUCCAGGCGAAGCUGCCACACCGGCCAGUUUGCAGGGGUGAGGAGUUGCCUGAGCCGAGCUCAUCUGCAUGGUCUUUGCAGCCCCACGAGUUGGUGUUGGGGUAGCAUGGUCCCAGGCUGGUCCAAGGAGCGUGAACCCCAAGACACAGGAAGACCCAGAGAACUGACUACCCAUACCCUCACCACCGACCGACUCUGAGCCAAGAAAUGACAGACAACCCAUUUGACCUGGAUUUCUUGGUGUAAAACGUAAGCUUACACUUACCAGAAUGGAAAAGACUGCCUUGAAGGGGCCUGGACUGGCUCUCACUGAUCCUUAGGAGUACAACCUGGAGCUUGGCAGCUCACCUUCAAUCCUGGCUCUGCCCCUCGCUCGAGCUGUGUGACCUUGGACAGUAACUUCUCCGUUUCUCAGCUUUGUUUGUAAACUAGAACAGUGUCUUAGAAGAAUGCCUGGCCAUUAGUGCCCAAUGCCUUAGCUACUUAAUACUGGUUUCUUUUUUUUUUUUGGCCAAAUUUCAUGGUUUUAGUAACAGGUACACAGUGCGCACAGAA